rnacentral:rRNA from 1 species
UACGUAGGUGGCAAGCGUUGUCCGGAAUUAUUGGGCGUAAAGCGCGCGCAGGCGGUCCUUUAAGUCUGAUGUGAAAGCCCACGGCUCAACCGCGAGCGGUCAUUGGAAACUGGGGAACUUGAGUGCAGAAGAGGAAAGUGGAAUUCCACGUGUAGCGGUGAAAUGCGUAGAGAUGUGGAGGAACACCAGUGGCGAAGGCGACUUUCUGGUCUGUAACUGACACUGAGGCGCGAAAGCGUGGGGAGCGAACAGG